GGGUGGUAAUGCCGGAUGCUCCGACUCCUCGCAUGGGGUGUCGGGAAAGAUUUCAUCGGUAUGGGAUGGGGUCGCGUCCUAUCAGGUAGUCGGCGGGGUAACGGCCCACCGAGCCUACGACGGGUAGCCGGCCUGAGAGGGCGACCGGCCACAUUGGGACUGAGAUACGGCCCAGACUCCUACGGGAGGCAGCAGUGGGGAAUAUUGCACAAUGGGCGCAAGCCUGAUGCAGCGACGCCGCGUGCGGGAUGACGGCCUUCGGGUUGUAAACCGCUUUUGAUCGGGAGCAAGCCUUCGGGUGAGUGUACCUUUCGAAUAAGCACCGGCUAACUACGUGCCAGCAGCCGCGGUAAUACGUAGGGUGCAAGCGUUAUCCGGAAUUAUUGGGCGUAAAGGGCUCGUAGGCGGUUCGUCGCGUCCGGUGUGAAAGUCCAUCGCUUAACGGUGGAUCUGCGCCGGGUACGGGCGGGCUGGAGUGCGGUAGGGGAGACUGGAAUUCCCGGUGUAACGGUGGAAUGUGUAGAUAUCGGAAAAGAACACCA
rnacentral:rRNA from 2 species